UACGAAGGGGGCUAGCGUUGUUCGGAAUUACUGGGCGUAAAGCGCACGUAGGCGGAUUUUUAAGUCGGGGGUGAAAUCCCGGGGCUCAACCCCGGAAUAGCCUCCGAUACUGGAUGUCUAGAGUCCGAGAGAGGUGAGUGGAAUUCCUGGUGUAGCAGUGAAAUGCGUAGAUAUCAGGAGGAACACCGAUGGCGAAGGCAGCCCGCCGGCUCGCAACUGACGCUGAGGCACGAAGGCGUGGGGAUCAAACAGG
rnacentral:rRNA from 1 species